rnacentral:lncRNA from 1 species
GACCCUUCCAGGCUCCAUGAGGUUCCUGUGUAUCAACAGCUGCAAAGGCAAAGGGAUUGGCCUCCUGGGCAGAAAGGGGCCAAAAGGGAGGGCCCUUUGGAGGAGCGUGGCUCUGGUGAGGGGUGGAGGUGAGACCCACACUUAUGCUCUGAUGCCUUGCAACUGAUUUCCUCCAGAUACAAACAGGGCAGCUGAAUGGGGAGAUGGCCUCCCCCAUCAGAGGCAGUUCCCAGCCAGCUUCCUUGGAUGGCCACACAGGAAUCACUCCACACACCAUCCCUGAGAAGCAGAACCACAGGGAAACCUCUUGUCCCUCUGGAAACUCAGUUACAAUCAGUUCAGCACUUGAAGGAAGGAUCUCGAAACAUUACAGCCCGAAGAACAAGAGGGUGAAACUGUGGAGGCCUCAGCAUCUUCUACCCAGAGUGUGCCCAAGCUAUACCCUGGGGCAGCCACCAGCAUCAAGAGCUUCAGGCCAGUAGGGAGCUAGGGGACCUCUUGGUCCCAUUUCCUUGAUAACAUCAGAAAUCUGAAGAACAACUCUCCAGCAAGGCACGGGCUUCAACUGAAGCCCUCUUCCCAAGUCAUACUAAAACAAGAACUGACCCCAGCUGCGGGUGCUUCUCUCUGCCCGCACAUCCCUCUUCCAGCCUGCUCCAUAUGCAGCCCCACACAGUGGGGGUUCCUGUUGGGAUUGUGUGUCUGGGGCAAGUGACCUUACCACCCCAAGCCUCCAUUUCCUCAGAAGUCAAACAGGGAUGGGGAUGCUGACUUUCCGGGAAGCCAGCUCACUUUGCUUUCAACUUCCAAGUCCACUGAAAGUUUCCAGUCCCGGGAUUUUAGGAAGAAGAAAGAAGAUACUAGACAUUUCUCACAACAGCAUUUUAUGACACAUUUUUAUGACAUCAGCUCUUUAAGCAUCUCUCUCCAAGGAACACAAAAUUCUCCAACAUAACCUCACCCAGGCCUUACAACAGUCCCCCAGAAUCCAGCAGAGUACAGCAAUUUUUGGUGUUUAUUGGAUACCUAUUUUUCCUGCCUCGUUUCCGAAAUGGAUUUACAGGCAAAUAUAAUGACCUCUCCAUCGUACAGGAUAUUUCUCUGGGUCCCAGGAAGAAAUGUGCCAACGGAGCAGUGUGGUC